rnacentral:lncRNA from 1 species
UUUUGGUUAGAUGUUUUCCCAGGUAUUUAUUAUUUUUGUGGCUGUCAUGAGAGAGGGAGGGUGCCACACACUUUUAAACAACCAGAUAUCAUGAGCAUUUACACAAUAGCACAAGAACAGCACCAAAUGGAUGGUGCUAAACCAUUCAUGAGAAAUCUGUCCUCAUGAUUCAUUCAGCUCCCACAACGUUCCACCUCCAACAUUGGGGAUUACAUUUCAACACGAUAGUGAGAAUCUACUCUUCGGGUGCAGAUAUUGUAUAGAGGCCUAUGAUAUAUCCUGUAGCUUGCAUCACUUCUGUGAUAAAGGCAUCCUUUUGACCAUUUUACAAGAGAGACAACUGAGUCUGAGGUAGAGUUUAAGAACAUCUUUCCAUAUCAUUAAGUAAAUGAUUGGCAAGAAUUUAAACCCAGGUCUACCUACUUCUAAAGUGCACACUCUUUCAGCUCCUACACAUCCUCCCUAAGGCACGACUUUAAGAACUAACACAGUAGUAAUCUACUGCAGUGCUGAUUUUUGAGCCAGAAGUAGGUAUAAUCUGGUGUUUUAUAAGUGAGGCAAAGUUGGAUUUAUCUCACAAUAUAAACAAUAUAAAAAAGGGAGGAACAUAUUUUUGUAUAAUUUUGUAUGUUUUUAAA